GCAGCCGCGGUAAUACAGAGGUCUCAAGCGUUGUUCGGAAUCACUGGGCGUAAAGGGUACGUAGGCGGCAUCAUAAGUCGUGCGUGAAAGGCAGGGGCUCAACCUCUGGAGUGCGCGUGAUACUGUGAUGCUGGAGUAAUGGAGGGGGAACCGGAAUUCUUGGUGUAGCAGUGAAAUGCGUAGAUAUCAAGAAGAAGACUCGUGGCGAAGGCGGGUUCCUGGACAUUUACUGACGCUGAGGUACGAAGGCCAGGGUAGCGAAAGGGAUUAGAUACCCC
rnacentral:rRNA from 1 species